UUUGAUCUUUUCUCGAAAUGGAUUCUCGUUAUUUUCGAAGAUUGUCAAGAAUUUCGCAUCAAAAUCCGUUCUUUAUUGCUCCCUCUUCUCUUUUCUCCUUCUUUGUUUCUUUGUUUCCUUUUCUUUAGGGAUUGUUAUUGAUGGAAAUACCGAUACUUUAGAUACGUCCUUUCAGAGUUUCUCCAAGUGGGUUUUCGUGUUUCUCGAAGAUUAUGAAGAAUCUUGUAUCAAAAUUGGAUCUUUAUCGCUCCAUCAUUUUUUUGUUCUCUUUCUUCCUGGAUUGAUGUUGCCAAAUACAAAUAUUUUUAGAUCCUUCCCUUCCAAUUUUUCCCCCCAAAUGGAUUGUCGUUUUUCUUCAACGUUAUGAAGAAUUUUCUAUCGAAAUUUGAUCUUUGUUUCUCUCUCCUCUGUUUUCAGUUGUUGGUAGAAUAGUAUUCUUUUUGUCUUCCGUUUUUUUUUUGUGUGUGUGUGUGUGUGUGUGUAUGUGUGUGUGCUUGGGGGGUUGUUUAUGUUCUUAUUUCAGAAAUUCGUCUGCAAGAUUUCUUUGUACGGAUGAGCAUUUGGGCAACCAAUUCUGUCCUCUUGUUUCUGCUCCUCACCGGAAUGAAAAGGAGUGGUUUUGAGCCCACCCGAGGAGAAGAGUAGGAGUGGGAAUGAUGGAGGGGGACACCUUCUCAGGCCUCGGCAACGGAACCCAAGUGGACAACAAAACUCUCCAAACCUUCCAGAAGAGCUUUGUCCAGGUCCAGAGCAUCCUGGAUCACAACAGGCUAUUGAUCAAUGAGAUCAACCAGAACCAUGAGUCGAAGAUCCCCGACAACCUCACCCGGAAUGUUGGCCUAAUCCGAGAGCUCAACAACAACAUCCGGCGAGUCGUCGACCUCUACGCCGACCUCUCCUUCUCCUUUACCAAAUCCAUGGAGGCGUCCUCCGAGGGGGACUCGGAUGGCAAGCCCGGUCACAAGCGAAAUAGGCCCGGCUAGAGCGGUACAACAAGGCAAAAAGUUUCAGCUUUUGAAUUCUUUCGCAGCAGCAAGGAACUCCAUAGAUUCAUAGAGAGAAAGAGAGAAGCCUGCUCUUCAUAAUAACAGCUGAUCGCUUGCCAUGUUGCAAGCCAAUGUACCUCUCCUUUUCUUCUAUCCCAUUGAUGUGAAGCUCUCUGCCUACCUUCCAGCUUCUGUUGUUGUUUAGCGUACUCUUGAUUCUGUUCUUAUGGGCAUACUUUUUGUCAUGGAAUCGAAGUCCUUUUAGCUUAACUAAGAAAACCUUUUCGUUAUUUGUAUGAGAUGAACGCCUGCCAGGCUUAGUGCGCUGUAAUGCUUCAAGUCAUCAGCAAGAAAGCAACUCUGUGAUA